UACGUAGGGGGCAAGCGUUGUCCGGAUUCAUUGGGCGUAAAGAGCGUGUAGGCGGCCAGGUAGGUCGGUUGUGAAAACUGGAGGCUCAACCUUCAGAGGUCGACCGAAACCAUCUGGCUAGAGUCCGGGAGAGGAGAGUGGAAUUCCUGGUGUAGCGGUGAAAUGCGCAGAUAUCAGGAAGAACACCCGUGGCGAAGGCGGCUCUCUGGGACGGUACUGACGCUGAGACGCGAAAGCUAGGGGAGCAAACAGG
rnacentral:rRNA from 1 species